rnacentral:rRNA from 1 species
GUGUCAGCCGCCGCGGUAAGACAGAGGGUGCAAACGUUGUUCGGAAUUACUGGGCGUAAAGCGCGUGUAGGCGGCUAUGUAAGUCGGGCGUGAAAUCCCACGGCUCAACCGUGGAAGUGCACCCGAAACUGCGUAGCUAGAGUCCUGGAGAGGAAGGUGGAAUGCUUGGUGUAGAGGUGAAAUUCGUAGAUAUCAAGCGGAACACCGGUGGCGAAGGCGGCCUUCUGGACAGUGACUGACGCUGAGACGCGAAAGCGUGGGGAGCAAACAGGAUUAGAUACCCCUGUAGUCC